rnacentral:tRNA from 1 species
AGUCUUAUAUUCAAUUAUGAUAUAAAAUUGCAAAUUUUAAGGUAUAAAUAAUAAAAUUAUUAAGGCUU